rnacentral:rRNA from 1 species
CCUACGGGCGGCUGCAGUAGGGAAUAUUAGUAAUGGAGGAAACUCUGAACUAGCGAUACCGCGUGUGCGAAGAAGGCCUUCGGGUUGUAAAGCACUUUUUGAGAGGAUGAGGAAGGACGGUACUCUCAGAAUAAGUCUCGGCUAACUACGUGCCAGCAGCCGCGGUAACACGUAGGAGGCAAACGUUAUCCGGAUUUACUGGGCGUAAAGCGCGUGUAGGUGGUACUGUAAGUAGGGCGUGAAAGCUCCUGGCUCAACUGGGAGAGGCCGUUCUAAACUGCAGAACUCGAGUUUGGUAGAGGAAGAUGGAAUUCCAGGUGUAGCGGUAAAAUGCGCAGAUAUCUGGAGGAACACCAGUGGCGAAAGCGGUCUUCUAGACCAAUACUGACACUCAGACGCGAAAGCUAGGGUAGCAAACGGGCUUAGAUACCCGUGUAGUC